UACGAAGGGGGCUAGCGUUGCUCGGAAUCACUGGGCGUAAAGCGCACGUAGGCGGGUUCUUAAGUCAGGGGUGAAAUCCUGGAGCUCAACUCCAGAACUGCCUUUGAUACUGGGAAUCUCGAGUCCGGGAGAGGUGAGUGGAACUGCGAGUGUAGAGGUGAAAUUCGUAGAUAUUCGCAAGAACACCAGUGGCGAAGGCGGCUCACUGGCCCGGUAUUGACGCUGAAUAGCGAAAGCGUGGGUAGUGAACAGG
rnacentral:rRNA from 1 species